ensembl:snRNA U6 U6 spliceosomal RNA
UUGCUUCAGCAGCACAUGUAGUAAAAUUGAAAUAAUAGAGAUUAGCCGGGGCCCUGCACAAGGAUGACAUACAAAUUUAUGAAGUGCUCCCAUAUUUA